GCAAGACUGACUUCAUUACCAUCUGUCUUCAUCUACCACUGCUUGAAUAAGUAUCAAGUAUGGAGCCUUUCCUGGACUCCAGUCACCGAGGCUGAGAGGGAAGCAGUUAUGUAACCAUGUGAUGCCUCACACUGCGCCCAGGGUGCCUGCAGUGUCCAGGAACACUUCAUCACUGAGGGGCUCUGAAAUCCAACAACCGUCUACAAUCCUGUGUCUAAAAGAAGCACUCUCUGUUCCUGUUAUCCUAAGGAUGGAUGAAAGCACAGAGCUUGCAUCUCGUGGAACAGGUAAAGGUAUUCCAGCUAACCUGAAUUCUGAAGCAAGAACACUUCUGUACCAGAAGGGCUAGAGACACACGCCCCACCCAGGACUGCCUCGGACUCAGCCUCCAGGGAAGCGCCGUGCUUCCCA